AGCAGCCGCGGUAAUUCCAGCUCCAAUAGCGUAUAUUAAGGUUGUUGCAGUUAAAAAGCUCGUAGUUGAAUUUCGGGAUCAAUAUGUCGGUCGUGCCUUCGGUACGUACUGGCAUCAUUGAUUUCUCCCUUCUGACGAACCAUGAUGUCAUUAAUUUGGUGUUAUGGGGAGUCAGGACUGUUACUUUGAAAAAUUAGAGUGUACGUA
rnacentral:rRNA from 1 species